CGUAUACCAACCGGUCGCGGUUCAGGAUCCGGGGGUUAGAAGGUUACACAUCACCUGCGCUUUCAGUACACUGGAUCACUGAUCACAGGUCACCAGGACACAUGUAAUAAAGAAGAAGUUUGAGCUGCUGCAGGAGUGACAUGUGACACCGAGACAGGAGAUCUCAUCCUGAUACCACACUUGUGCCGAAUCUACGUGUCAGUGUGUCGACGAUCCGAGCUGUGGCUAGGUGAUUGGAUUUACGGAGUCUAACAAGUCAAAAACAAUUUUGACUACUGAAGAGACCACCUCAUGGUUGCUCUGUGUGCAAGUAAGAGGUAUGAAAAGUAAUCAGCACGGGGAGGGGGGGGGACCAGGAAAGGUCUAUACUGUGUGUGUACUGACUGUUAUUGUCCCUUUUGUAUGUCAGUAUCCUUUAAAGACUUUCCUUCUCAAGGUUGUGAUUUAUUUGGCCUGUUCACUUCAGCUGGAUACCGCUAAUGUUUUCUAUUGGAUGAUCCGUGUGUUAACUUUUUUUUUUUUUUUAAAGAAGGUUUUCUUAGUUAUUUGACAGAGUGAGAGUGAGAGCCCACGCACAAGCAGG